CAGUGAUCUAGGUGAAGACGAAGGCCUCCUCUCCCUGGCAGGCAAGAGGAAGAUCAGGGGGAGCCUGUCCAAGGAGUCAGUGGAGAUCCUUGGGGACUGGCUGUACUUGCACCUCUGUAAUGCCUCCCCCUGGGGCCGGGGAAGCUGAGCCUUUCUGGUCAGACCAACCUGUCAGCACUGCAGAUGUGUAACUGGUUCAUCAACGGCUGGCAGUGGCGUCUCCCAGACUGCAAAGAUGCGAAUCAGUUUACCCUCUCCCGAGGUGGGGGUGAGGCCUCAGAUGUGGCCCAGCCCAGUGGCAGCAGCCCUUCAGGGCUGCCUGUGUCUGUCCCAGCCCCCACAGAUGUGCUCUCCCUGUGUGUGUGCUGCGUGCUGCUCUGCUCAGGCCAGCGUGGAAAGCCUGCAGCCCCCUUCCCACGGCGGGAGCCGGAGCCCCCCAAUACUCUGACUCCUGGUAGCACACUCACCCUGCUGACCAGGACUGAGGCUGGAAGCCCCACAGGUGCACUCUCCAACAUGCCACCAGCCACAUCCCUAGAACGAGACAAAGAGGCUUCAGCAGCUUCCAGCUGCUUCCAGUCCUCCAACUACAGAGGGCUGCUGAGAUGGAGCUUGAGAAGCAGCAGCACCUGUUACUCCCAUUCCUGCACACUCCCAUCCCUUUAGUCUCUGAAAACCUCAAGUA
rnacentral:lncRNA from 1 species